CCCUUAGAUGUUCUGGGCCGCACGCGCGCUACACUGAUGCAUUCAACGAGUUUCUUCCUGGUCCGAGAGGAAUGGGUAACCUUUUGAAAGUGCAUCGUGAUAGGGAUAGACUAUUGCAAUUAUUAAUCUUCAACGAGGAAUGCCUAGUAAGCGUGAUUCAUCAAAUCGCGUUGAUUACGUCCCUGCCCUUUGUACACACCGCCCGUCGCUCCUACCGAUUGAGUGUGUUGGUGAGGAGUUUGGAUUGGCCUCGGAAGGUGGUUCGCCACCGUCCGUAGCUGAGAAGUUCUCCAAACCGCCCCACUUAGAGGAAGGAGAAGUCGUAACA
rnacentral:rRNA from 1 species